CCUACGGGUGGCAGCAGUGGGGAAUAUUGCACAAUGGGGGAAACCCUGAUGCAGCAACGCCGCGUGAAGGAAGACGGUUUUCGGAUUGUAAACUUCCAUCAAUAGGGAAGAAAGAAAUGACGGUACUUAAAUAAGAAGCCCCGGCUAAAUACGUGCAAGCAGACGCGGCAAUACGUAGGGGGCAAGCGUUCUCCGGAAUUACUGGGUGUAAAGGGAGAGUAGGCGGCAAGGUAAGCGAGAUGUGAAAGGCUGAAGCUUAACUUAAGGAUGGAAUAACGAACUAUCUAGCUAGAGUACAGGAGAGGAAAGCGGAAUGCCUAGUGUAGCGGUGAAAUGCGUAGAUAGUAGGAAGAACACCGGUGGCGAAGGCAGCUUUCUGGACUGAAACUGACGCUGAGGCUCGAAAGCGUGGGGAGCGAACAGGAUUAGAUACCCUUGUAGUC
rnacentral:rRNA from 1 species